rnacentral:rRNA from 1 species
UACGUAGGCAGCAAGCGUUGUUCGGAUUUACUGGGCGUAAAGGGUGCGUAGGCGGCUUCUUAAGUCUGGUGUGAAAUCUCCCGGCUCAACUGGGAGGGUGCGCCGGAUACUGAGGGGCUAGAGUGUGGGAGAGGAAAGUGGAAUUCCUGGUGUAGCGGUGAAAUGCGUAGAUAUCAGGAGGAACACCGGUGGUGUAAACGGCUUUCUGGACCAUAACUGACGCUGAGGCACGAAAGCGUGGGUAGCAAGACGG